CGGAACAAUUUUUACUUUAGUGGCGGACGGGUGAGUAACGCGUGGGUAACCUGCCUUAUACAGGGGGAUAACACUUAGAAAUAGGUGCUAAGACCGCAUAAGCGCCCAGGGCCGCAUGGCCCAGGGUGAAAAACUCCGGUGGUAUAAGAUGGGCCCGCGUCUGAUUAGCCAGUUGGCAGGGUAACGGCCCACCAAAGCGACGAUCAGUAGCCGGCCUGAGAGGGUGGACGGCCACAUUGGGACUGAGACACGGCCCAAACUCCUACGGAAGGCAGCAG
rnacentral:rRNA from 1 species